UGUCUGAGUCAGAGCUGCAUCCUCGGAGGAAUAAACGCCAAAACUCCCUCCUCGGCCGCUCUCACACCCCCAACCUCCGGCUUCUUCCUCACGACCGUCGAUGCUGUCAGCAUACGUGUUCUUUAUGAAUCUCUAACAGCACAUUUUCGGCCUAAACUGCGCGAAAAGCCGGGCAGACCCGCUGGAUCUCACACACGCAGAAGAACUACCUGAGGGGAGGGGAAGAGGGGAGCGAGAAAGGAGCGGGAAUUUUUGCAGACCCGCUCAGGAGGUUUUGGCUGAAACUUUCAGUAAGACGCUCGAGGCUGAGAAUCUUCCCCGAAGCGUUUAGGACUCAAAGGCAAGUGGGAGAAAGCUUUUUUUCCUCAGAGCGAAUGCGAUAGCACUCGCUGAAGGCAUUUCUGUUCUGCAGGGAAUGAGAAAAGAACGAGCCUCGUUUGCCCGUUAGGGAACAGCGCUCGGGGAGUAGGAAUGGCGCGCUUCCAUCCAGACCAGCGGGCGCUGCCACCGCCAGGAGCUCGCUCAGCCUUUCAGGGCAAACACAGCUCCUGCCGUUCGUAAGCAGCCCGUCUUUCUAACCACCAUAUCUCCUCUCCGCUGUACCCCUACGCCGCCCUGCCGCCCUUGCCCGGCUUCAGCCCCUCCAGCGCUACGGCUGAUGGAGGGAGGGGAGGCGGCGGCUGGGGUUUCGUUCGACGCCCACCAGGGGCUGAGCGAGCCUUCUUCAGUGCGCAAACUCGGGGCACCAGAUAAAAGCUGGGCUGGCAGCUCUUACCCUGCCUCGAUGGAGCCGCCACUUUCGGGUGACUGGAGAAGCAGUUAGCAGCAGCGCCAUAGACUAGCGUCCCCCCACACCUUGGGCACAGAGAGUUUGGGGCUCUAAAGAGCUGCUGCUGCGGCAGGAGGGAGCCGAGGGCGCUUGGCUGGGGCUGUUCGCUCGGGUUCUGCCUGUUGUUGCGCGAAAUGGCGGAUGGCGUCUUGGGACUAACAAUCUGGCAUCUGGGAGAGAGAAGACAAAGGAAAGACAACAAGUUGAGUGCUGGACUGUGGGUCAAAAGCUUCAUCUGUAAAAUCCUAACAGGGAAACACGCUGAUAAAAGGAGGGAACAGGAGUGAGAACUGGGAAAAGUGCUUCAGGCUGUUGUUUUCUGGCACAAUGCCCAGCAGGCACUGCACCAGGCAGCUCAGACCUGGAGCCUGCUUUCCCUGCUGCGUGCUGCCUGCGUCAUUUUCUGGCCUGGGACGACAUCUGGCUGGCAUCUUCUUUUCCACACCCCCGGAGGAGUGCUCUUUCUAGCUGGUUACUGCAGUGCUUGGCAUUAAAAUACAGUGAAUUA